GCCCUCAUGAAUAUUCAUGAGGCGCCGUGAAUGGUGAUUCGGCCGCCGCCGCCGCCGCUUCUGGGUCGGUGCGGGACGGGGCCGGCCCGGAGGAGUUUUCCCGAGCGCCUGGGACGGUCCCAGCCCGCGCUGGCCCGAGCGCUUCCUGUUAAACGCGUUUGUCCCGCUAAGCCCACAGCAAGGAGUUCCCGCCCGCUGGCCCGGUGCCAGAACCGGCACCCCGGACCGUCUCGUUCCCGGUGGGAACAGCGGGGAAUGGCCGGGCGUGGAGGGCAGCCCUGCUCCCUCAGCCGGGGCUCCGUGUGAGCUCGGCCAAGCGCCGCCUGUGCUUGUCCUGUGGCCGCUUCAGAGCUGCGGGCUGAGCUCGGCUUCGCUCCGGGAUGAGCCCGGCUUUGGCGCCGGGCCGCCUCCAGGGAACUGACAUCUCUUUGGCAAUCGGCUGAUUAAAUCCCCUGGCAGCACACAGCAGAGAGCAUUUCAGCACGUCAUUCUUGGAACUCUCUCAGCACCACGGUCACCUGGGGCUGCGCUUCCUCCAGCCUUGCAGGCAGAGUGAGCAUCUGUCGCAGAAGCCUUGGCUCUGUCUGGGGAGCAGCUGCCACCUGAGAAAUCACUCUUUGCUCGUUCCCUGUCUCCUUUUUCUGGAGUGGAGCCCUCCAGG